rnacentral:rRNA from 1 species
AUUGAACGCUGGCGGCAGGCUUAACACAUGCAAGUCGAGCGUGAAAGGGUUUCGGCCUGAGUAAAGCGGCGGACGGGUGAGUAAUACGCAGGAAUCUACCUGGUAGUGGGGGAUAACGUUUCGAAAGGGGCGCUAAUACCGCAUACGUUCUGAGGAAGAAAGCGGGGGACCGCAAGGCCUCGCGCGAUUGGAUGAGCCGACGUCGGAUUAGCUAGUUGGUGGGGUAAAGGCCCACCAAGGCGACGAUCCGUAGCUGGUCUGAGAGGAUGAUCAGCCACACUGGAACUGAGACACGGUCCAGACUCCUACGGGAGGCAGCAGUGGGGAAUAUUGGACAAUGGGCGCAAGCCUGAUCCAGCAAUGCCGCGUGCAGGAUGAAGGCCUCGGUUGUAACGUAGCUUUGUUACGGUAACGAAACGGUUACGUUU